UGCGAAGGGGGCUAGCGUUGGUCGGAAUUACUGGGCGUAAAGCGCGCGCAGGCGGUUUUUCAAGUCAGUGGUUAAAGCCCGGAGCUCAACUCCGGAAAUGCCAUUGAAACUGUGAAACUUGAGGAUGAGAGAGGUGAGUGGAAUUCCCAGUGUAGAGGUGAAAUUCGUAGAUAUUGGGAAGAACACCAGUGGCGAAGGCGGCUAACUGGUCCGGUACUGACGCUGAGGUGCGAAAGCGUGGGGAGCAAACAGG
rnacentral:rRNA from 1 species